UACGUAGGGUGCGAGCGUUGUCCGGAAUUAUUGGGCGUAAAGGGCUCGUAGGCGGUUUGUCGCGUCGGGAGUGAAAACCUCGGGCUUAACUCGGGGCUUGCUUUCGAUACGGGCAGACUAGAGGUAUGCAGGGGAGAACGGAAUUCCUGGUGUAGCGGUGAAAUGCGCAGAUAUCAGGAGGAACACCGGUGGCGAAGGCGGUUCUCUGGGCAUGAUCUGACGCUGAGGUGCGAAAGCGUGGGGAGCAAACAGG
rnacentral:rRNA from 1 species